GCCCUUAUCGUCUAAUGGCUAGGACAUUACUUUUUCACGGUGAAAACGCGAGUUCAAUUCUCGCUGAGGGUA
rnacentral:tRNA from 1 species